rnacentral:rRNA from 1 species
CGGAGGGUGCGAGCGUUGUUCGGAAUCACUGGGCGUAAAGGGCGUGUAGGCGGUCUGCUAAGUCUGAUGUGAAAGCCCGGGGCUCACCCCCGGAAGGGCAUUGGAAACUGGCGGACUCGAGUCCCGGAGAGGAGGGUGGAAUUCCUGGUGUAGCGGUGAAAUGCGUAGAUAUCAGGAGGAACACCGGUGGCGAAGGCGGCCCUCUGGACGGUGACUGACGCUGAGACGCGAAAGCGUGGGGAGCAAACAGGACUAGAUACCCUGGUAGUCCACGCUGUAAACGAUGAGCACUAGGUGUCGUGGGUAUUGACCCCCGCGGUGCCGCAGCUAACGCAUUAAGUGCUCCGCCUGGGGACUACGGCCGCAAGGUUA